rnacentral:lncRNA from 1 species
AAUACACGGAUGGUUGGUAUGGUUAUAUUGUUCAUUCACAAAGAAAGAGGCUCAACUGUCUGCUGUAUCAAGUGGAAUUAGUUGCAGUUGAAGCUCAAGUAGGCUCUUUAUUUUGAUCAAGAAUCACCCAAGAACACAUGCAUUAGACUUAAUUUUGUUAAAUAUAGGUUACAUGGAGUCUAGCAUAGCCUGUGUUAUCUGCAUAGAGUUUGCAUUUUUAGACAUCGGUGACUACAGUGUCGGUUAAUGAUGUUAUUUCAACGAAACAAACGUUGGUGACGACCCGGUAAUUAUUCUAAUAUAUU